UACGUAGGGGGCAAGCGUUGUCCGGAUUUAUUGGGCGUAAAGAGCGUGUAGGCGGCCAUACAGGUCAGCUGUGAAAACUCGAGGCUCAACCUCGAGACGUCGGUUGAAACCGUAUGGCUAGAGUCCGGAAGAGGAGAGUGGAAUUCCCGGUGUAGCGGUGAAAUGCGCAGAUAUCAGGAGGAACACCGGUGGCGAAGGCGGGUCUCUGGGCCGUUACUGACGCUGAGGAGCGAAAGCGUGGGGAGCGAACAGG
rnacentral:rRNA from 1 species